rnacentral:rRNA from 1 species
GAUGAACGCUGGCGGCGUGCCUAAUACAUGCAAGUCGAGCGAAUGACGAGGAGCUUGCUCCUCUGAUUUAGCGGCGGACGGGUGAGUAACACGUGGGUAACCUGCCUGUAAGACGGGGAUAACUCCGGGAAACCGGAGCUAAUACCGGAUGAUAACGAGAAGCGCCUGCUUCUUUUUUGAAAGUCGGUUUCGGCUGACGCUUACAGAUGGGCCCGCGGCGCAUUAGCUAGUUGGUGAGGUAACGGCUCACCAAGGCGACGAUGCGUAGCCGACCUGAGAGGGUGAUCGGCCACACUGGGACUGAGACACGGCCCAGACUCCUACGGGAGGCAGCAGUAGGGAAUCUUCGGCAAUGGACGAAAGUCUGACCGAGCAACGCCGCGUGAGCGAUGAAGGCCUUCGGGUCGUAAAGCUCUGUUGUCAGAGAAGAACAAGUACCGGAGUAACUGUCGGUACCUUGACGGUACCUGACCAGAAAGCCACGGCUAACUACGUGCCAGCAGCCGCCGUAAAAC